rnacentral:lncRNA from 1 species
GUUGUCUUUUCGUUGCACUUGCUUCCUUCUCGCACGACCUACUUCCUUCUAGUACGAAUCCUUCAGCUUCCAUUCCAUUGAAUCAUCCAAAACCUUGAUUCUCCUUCCUUCGGCCGUCCCCCAAUGACUCCGUAGAUAUGCAGCGACUAGCUAAGAUUCCAUGAUUAUUCAUUUGGUGGAAUUGGUUGUUAGAGAUACA